AUAUUUUUUACCCUAUUUUUUGAGUUUGUCUCUAUAACAUGAGUUGAUUGUUCCAAUGGUUACUGAAUUUAGGUCAAUGUCUUUGAUUGAUCAUUGAGAGUUUAAAAUGUCGAGUUUUGAUCACUGAAUUUAGGUUUAUGUAUUUGAUUUUUCAUUGAAAUUUAAUAUGUUAAAUUUUAACAAUUGAAUUUUGAAAAAUAUUGUACAUUACUCACUGAACUUUGAAAAAUACUGUAUAUUAUUUACUGAAAACUCGAUAUUUUUCCUUGU
rnacentral:sRNA from 1 species